GGCAGGAUGGCCGAGAGGUCUAAGGCGCCUGAUUCUAGCUCAAGCUCUUCUAACAGUGCGGAGGUUCUAACCCGCGUUUUUGCCU